UCUUGAUCACACUUUGGAGAGCAGAAUUACUGCCAAAAAGGCAGGUUAUUUAUAUAAAGUGUAAAUAGACACUCCGUAUGUUUUAUUCCAUAGUAAGCGCAAUUCAUACAAUACAGUUAAACCAAGCUACUUUAAAACCAUCUCUGAACUUUUUACCAUGACUUUGCUGUGUUUCGGCUGGUUCUUUCUUUAUACGUUGAUUGAGAGAUGUCUCGUCCAGUAAGCACACAAAAGAAGAUAUUUUGAAGAAUGUGGAUUUCCAAACAGCUGAUGGACCUCACUGGCUUCAUAAAAGAAACUCAUGCAGGACCAACAUGUGAAACAAUAUAAAGAUGUUCGGGUCCUGCACAGCUGUGAGGCUGCUCUCAUGCUUUCCCUCUUCAUAGCCUCACCUGCACCCUGUCUUCUGGCCAGCGCUCAAUCUGACCUCCCAUUAGAGAGAGGGAGGUCCGUCUCUUCAUCUUAAUAACGGAUGAUAAACUGACGGCGGUGAUUAAGCGUAUAGGAGUGCAAAAUUGUUCAGUUCUGCUCAGACCUUCAGCUACAGUGGCUCUUUUUUUUAACAGUCGUUGCUUUCCAAAAAACAGAACAAAAGUUCGGCCUCUUGUUUCGAAUCACAACACUCUCAUUUCAUAGAAACCCAAACACAAUGUGAGAUUAGUGUCAUACACACAAAGAAGAGUGCCUUGUCCUGUAGAUUUUUCGACAGAUUUUAGUAAGAUUGUAAACAAUCUGGCAGGAAAAAAUAUGUUUAAAUACUGUGGCAUCUCAAACUAAAUAUAUUAGGGAAUGUUUUCAAAGGUACAAUCACAGAAAAUAAUUCUUAUGCCUGAUAAAAUUCAUUAUGCACAUACAUUUCAAUUAAAAAGUUUUAACAUAAAUUAACAAACAUAAUGCAUAGUUUCCAAUCAUAAAAAUGACUGGUAAGAAACAGGUCCUAGUUAUUCAUUACCAAUUUGCAUUUAUUUGAUUUUAUUUAAAGAAUCAUAAUUUUAAAUGCAUGCAUUCAGAUGGCUUAGAAUCAGCAUGAAUCUGUUCAUUGUGAAAACAAUUACAUUUAUUCAGUUAAGAAGUAUGAACAUGGAUAAAAUAUGGCAAUAGCUGUGGAACAAGGAAUAUUAAAUUAGUUAAUAUAUAAAUUAGUUUAUUAAUAUAUUGUAUUUGUUGAUGAUAAAUAUAUAAAGCUGGUUAUUGAGUAAUUAAAAGAAAUUCAAUUUAUUAGUAUUUUAGUAUGCAUCACAUUAAGUUUAUUUUUUAGUUUAAGUUGAAGUGUGACCAAAAUGAAUUGGAAUUUUAUAUGCAUUCCAAAUAUAUAAAUCUUAAAUUUAGGCCUAAAUAUGUAUUUAAGCGCAACAAGAUUGAUAUUUUUACAGUUUAAUUUGAUAUUACCAGUCUUGUCCUUAAGAUUAUAAAAGUUCACAUAGAAAUUAAUUUAUGACAGGUCAUUAAUUUGCAUCCAGCUCAUAAAUCGCUCAUAAUAUUUCACUAUAUUGAAUAUUGCUUCAAAU